GAGGAGCUCAUGGUGGAUGUGGGCAAGGGACUUGGCACAGUCAAGACCUGUCAGGAAGGUCGUGGAGGAGGUGAGGACGUAGUAGAGGAGCCGGCUGCAAGAGGUGCUGAGUGACAGCAGGACCAAGGAAUGAGCUCUGCAGAGGAAGGACUUUGAGAUCAGGCAGCCACUUAAUAACCUGUGGCCCAGGAGGGAGCUAAGGGCUGGAUGGAGAGAUACCAAGAUACUCAGAGUUGAAGAGGCCGCCCCCUCUUCCUGGCCCGCCUCCUGGAGGCCCCUGGAGGACACUGCCUGGUUCCCCGCAGACCCUGAAGCUUUCUCAAGUUGGGGAAGAGCUAGAGGAGGGGACUGCUCCUGGGACUUGGGGCUCAAUAGUCAGGAACCCCCCUCUCAAGUCCCACACCACUCCACUUUGUCAACUCCACUAAAAAAAGUUCUCAAUUGGUUUUUGAGUC
rnacentral:lncRNA from 1 species